UACAGAGGGUGCGAGCGUUAAUCGGAAUGACUGGGCGUAAAGGGUGUGUAGGUGGUUUAAUAAGUUAGGUGUAAAAGUCCUGGGCUUAACCUGGGGAGGUCGCUUAAGACUGUUAAGCUAGAGUACUGUAGAGGGGAGUGGAAUUUCCGGUGUAGCAGUGAAAUGCGUAGAUAUCGGAAGGAACAUCAGUGGCGAAGGCGACUUUCUGGACAGAUACUGACACUGAGACACGAAAGCGUGGGGAGCAAAC
rnacentral:rRNA from 1 species